AAAUAAGAAAGAAAAAAUAUUUUAAACUAUUUUAUAUGAGAGUUUCUUGUUAUUUUAUUAAAAAUGUUACAUUUUUAAUAUAAAAACGAAAUGGACGGGAAUUUACUUAUAUCUAUUAUGUGGACCUACUCCAUAUGCGGGAGUUUUUCGGGAGGUAUACUGCGGAAGUGCAACCAAAAUGCUUACAAAUAACUCGGUGAACUUAACACAAGAUUAUUAUGUCUUGGCAACAUGUCACUUGUGGAUGCUAGGAGCUUUCAUGAAUAAACAUUGAUUUGGCAGUCUCUGAAUUACAAUUUGAAAAUAUCGUGGCAUUUGCGUACAUACAUACAUACAUACAUACAUACAUACAUACAUACAUACAUACAUACAUACA